UGCAGUCGAACGGCAGCGCGGACUUCGGUCUGGCGGCGAGUGGCGAACCGGUGAGUAAUAUAUCGGAACGUGCCCAGUAGCGGGGGAUAACUACUCGAAAGAGUAGCUAAUACCGCAUACGCCCUACGGGGGAAAGGGGGGGAUCGCAAGACCUCUCACUACUGGAGCGGCCGAUAUCGGAUUAGCUAGUUGGUGGGGUAAAGGCCCACCAAGGCGACGAUCCGUAGCUGGUUUGAGAGGACGACCAGCCACACUGGGACUGAGACACGGCCCAGACUCCUACGGGAGGCAGCAGUGGGGAAUUUUGGACAAUGGGGGAAACCCUGAUCCAGCCAUUCCGCGUGUGCGAUGAAGGCCUUCGGGUUGUAAAGCACUUUUGGCAGGAAAGAAAUCGCACAAAUUAAUACUUUGUGUGGAUGACGGUACCUGCAGAAUAAGCACCGGCUAACUACGUGCCAGCAGCCGCGGUAAUACGUAGGGUGCAAGCGUUAAUCGGAAUUACUGGGCGUAAAGCGUGCGCAGGCGGUUCGGAAAGAGAGGUGUGAAAUCCCAGGGCUUAACCUUGGAACUGCACUUUUAACUCCCGAGCUAGAGUAUGUCAGAGGGGGGUGGAAUUCCGCGUGUAGCAGUGAAAUGCGUAGAUAUGCGGAGGAACACCGAUGGCGAAGGCAGCCCCCUGGGAUAAUACUGACGCUCAUGCACGAAAGCGUGGGGAGCAAACAGGAUUAGAUACCCUGGUAGUCCACGCCCUAAACGAUGUCAACUAGCUGUUGGGGGCUUCGGCCCUUAGUAGCGCAGCUAACGCGUGAAGUUGACCGCCUGGGGAGUACGGUCGCAAGAUUAAAACUCAAAGGAAUUGACGGGGACCCGCACAAGCGGUGGAUGAUGUGGAUUAAUUCGAUGCAACGCGAAAAACCUUACCUACCCUUGACAUGUCUGGAAUCCCGAAGAGAUUUGGGAGUGCUCGCAAGAGAACCGGAACACAGGUGCU
rnacentral:rRNA from 1 species